rnacentral:rRNA from 1 species
UACGGGGGGGGCAAGCGUUGUUCGGAAUUACUGGGCGUAAAGCGUGCGUAGGCGGUUUGUUAAGUCCGCUGUGAAAGCCCUGGGCUCAACCUGGGAAUUGCAGUGGAUACUGGCAAGCUAGAGUGCGGUAGAGGAUGGUGGAAUUCCCGGUGUAGCGGUGAAAUGCGCAGAUAUCAGGAGGAACACCAGCGGCGAAGGCGGCGCUCUGGGCCGGAACUGACGCUGAGGAGCGAAAGCGUGGGUAGCAAACAGG